rnacentral:rRNA from 2 species
UACGGAGGGUGCAAGCGUUAUCCGGAUUUACUGGGUUUAAAGGGUGCGUAGGCGGGUAGGUAAGUCAGUGGUGAAAUCUUCGAGCUUAACUCGGAAACUGCCUUUGAUACUAUCUAUCUUGAAUAUUGUGGAGGUAAGCGGAAUAUGUCAUGUAGCGGUGAAAUGCUUAGAUAUGACAUAGAACACCUAUUGCGAAGGCAGCUUACUACGCAUAUAUUGACGCUGAGGCACGAAAGCGUGGGGAUCAAACAGG